AAGAAUAAGAUGACUUUUUAGC
rnacentral:miRNA from 1 species